UGCAAUUGAUCAACAAAGAAAGAUGUUGAAACAGACUAAAUAACCAUUUUCUGCUGGCAACUCUGACAGCUGAAGCUACUUGAAAUCACACCAGCUCUGGAUCAACUACAGGCCCAGCUGGUCACUUGGAUGCUGAUGGCAAGAGGCAAAAAAAAAAAAAAAAAAAAAAAAACGCACUAGGGUGAGUGCAAAAGUAGAGCUAUGCUCACUUAUAACCUGGGGCACACACACACAUCACACCUCACCCCACAUGUGGCCCCUGGGGUGCUGUAAUCCAGCAAGAGCUUUCUCUUGGUGCCAGGACAAGGACCAGAAGUGAAACCUAGUCAUAUUUUCCUUGGAAAACACUCUC
rnacentral:lncRNA from 10 species